rnacentral:rRNA from 1 species
ACGGGAGGCAGCAGUGGGGAAUAUUGCACAAUGGGCGAAAGCCUGAUGCAGCGACGCCGCGUGAGCGAAGAAGUAUUUCGGUAUGUAAAGCUCUAUCAGCAGGGAAGAUAAUGACGGUACCUGACUAAGAAGCACCGGCUAAAUACGUGCCAGCAGCCGCGGUAAUACGUAUGGUGCAAGCGUUAUCCGGAUUUACUGGGUGUAAAGGGAGCGUAGGCGGUCUUGCAAGUCUGAUGUGAAAACCCGGGGCUCAACUUCGGGAUUGCAUUGGAAACUGUAAGACUAGAGUGUCGGAGGGGUAAGUGGAAUUCCUAGUGUAGCGGUGAAAUGCGUAGAUAUUAGGAGGAACACCAGUGGCGAAGGCGGCUUACUGGACGAUUACUGACGCUGAGGCUCGAAAGCGUGGGGAGCAAACAGGAUUAGAUACCCUGGUA